AGCAGCCGCGGUAAUUCCAGCUCCAAUAGCGUAUAUUAAAGUUGUUGCAGUUAAAAAGCUCGUAGUUGAAUUUCGGGAUUGACGUGAUGGUCGUGCCUUAAGGGGUAUGAACUGUCGCAGUUGAUUUCUCACCUUCUGGAGAAGCAUGAUGUCCUUAAUUGGGUGUCAUGUGGAACCAGGACCUUUACCUUAGAAAAAUUGAGUGUUUAAAGCAGGCAUUUUGCUCGAAUACAUUAGCAUGGAAUAAUAGAAUAGGACGGCAUGGUUCUAUUUUGUUGGUUUCUAGGAUCACCGUAAUGAUUAAUAGGGAUAGUUGGGGGCAUUAGUAUUCAA
rnacentral:rRNA from 1 species